CAUGCACGCACCCCCACGUACGGACCCCCACGCACGCACGCACUCCACGCGUACGCAUAUAUAUUAAUAAAUCUAUAUCCCCUCACACACACCUCCACGUGCACACGCACACACAUCCCCCACGGGCUUCUCGGUGAGUCUUCACGCUCGAAAGCAUCUCCAUGUCACCACUCGCACACUGCCACGUCCGCACCUGUGUAAAUCACAUCUUCGCAUCUCCCCCACACAUCACACGCACACAAGCGUUCCCGCACACGCGCGCCUCCCCACGUACGCACCUCUCUACACCCCUUCAUACACACGCAUGCCUUCUCAAUACACGUACCAGCCCACUUGCACGCACUUGCACGCGCUUGCACCCUCCACACGCACCGCUCGGAGCUUUUCCCCCUCUCUCCUCCCAAUGGCUGGCUUCUGGAGCCGACCCUUCCACGCGCCCCCAGCUUCGCGGCAGCUAGGUCCCUCCCCAGCGCGCUGAGCUCACAGCCCAGGAGCCGGUCGCAGCCACACAGGCCCGUCCGACGGGACCACUGCUUCCCUCCUCACAUCCCAGGAGACACCAGGUGGGGCGUGGCACCUCCCACACACGGCUGGAGGGACUCCCAGGAUUUCCCGUCCUUCCGAAUUCGUGGGGGGUCAGGGGACUGCGGGGAGGCGUUUCUCAUCCUCGCUGGGGAAAGGACUCACCUGGUUCCCAAAGCCAGUUUGCUCUUCCUCUACUUCCUGCCAGAGGUCGUAGGAUUUCUGAUGAUCUGCCCUGAUGUCCCAACAUUCUUGGGGAGCCUGGCCUUAAAGAACAAUGGAAAGAAGCAGUCAUAGGAAUCCUGGACCAGGAAUAUGUGCCUGAGAGGGAUUAUACACCUGGUGCUG
rnacentral:lncRNA from 1 species